rnacentral:tRNA from 2 species
GGGGCGUUAGCUCAGCUGGGAGAGCGCCGCCUUUGCAAGGCGGAGGUCGUCGGUUCGAUCCCGACACGCUCCA